GAUGAAGAACGUAGCGAAACGCGAUACGUAAUGUGAAUUGCAGAAUUCAGUGAAUCAUCGAAUCUUUGAACGCACCUUGCGCCCCUCGGCAUUCCGAGGGGCAUGCCUGUUUGAGUGUCACGGAUCCUUCGAACCCCGCCGGUCUCCGACGAGCCGGCCGCCUGGGUUCGGUCCUGGGCGCUACGCCACCCCUCCGGGGCUGACCCGCCUCAAAAGCAUCAGCUGGGCCUCGCGGCGUGGGCGGGCUCCGAUCGGCGUGAUAAGUCAUCUGCCGAGAGGGUGCCCGUCCGUCCCGCGGAUCGCGGUCCGCUCCCAACCCCUCCCCGCGCGCCGUCCCCCCCCGGGGAGCGCGCGGGGACGUUUCGACGCUCUGGCCUCAAAUCAGGUAGGACCACCCGCUGAACUUAAGCAUAUCAAUAAGCGGAGGA
rnacentral:misc_RNA from 1 species